rnacentral:tRNA from 1 species
GUCAGGAUGGCCGAGCGGUCUAAGGCGCUGCGUUCAGGUCGCAGUCUCCAAUGGAGGCGUGGGUUCAAAUCCCACUUCUGACA